rnacentral:rRNA from 1 species
GUGGGGAAUCUUAGACAAUGGGGGAAACCCUGAUCUAGCCAUGCCGCGUGAGCGAUGAAGGCCUUAGGGUUGUAAAGCUCUUUCAGCUGGGAAGAUAAUGACUGUACCAGCAGAAGAAGCCCCGGCUAACUCCGUGCCAGCAGCCGCGGUAAUAAGGAGGGGGCUAGCGUUGUUCGGAAUUACUGGGCGUAAAGCGCACGUAGGCGGACCGGAAAGUCAGAGGUGAAAUCACAGGGCUCAACCUGGGAACUGCCUUUGAAACUCCUGGUCUUGAGGUCGAGAGAGGUGAGUGGAAUUCCGAGUGUAGAGGUGAAAUUCGUAGAUAUUCGUAGGAACACCAGUGGCGAAGGCGGCUCACUGGCUCGAUACUGACGCUGAGGUGCGAAAGCGUGGGGAGCAAACAGGAUUAGAAACCCCAGUAGUCC